rnacentral:rRNA from 1 species
AACGAACGCUGGCGGCAUGCCUAACACAUGCAAGUCGAACGAGGCCUUCGGGUCUAGUGGCGCACGGGUGCGUAACGCGUGGGAACCUGCCCUUAGGUUCGGAAUAACUCCCCGAAAGGGGUGCUAAUACCGGAUAAUGUCUUCGGACCAAAGAUUUAUCGCCUUUGGAUGGGCCCGCGUUGGAUUAGCUAGUUGGUAGGGUAAAAGCCUACCAAGGCGACGAUCCAUAGCUGGUCUGAGAGGAUGAUCAGCCACACUGGGACUGAGACACGGCCCAGACUCCUACGGGAAGCAGCAGUGGGGAAUAUUGGACAAUGGGCGAAAGCCUGAUCCAGCAAUGCCGCGUGAGUGAUGAAGGCCUUAGGGUUGUAAAGCUCUUUUACCCGGGAUGAUAAUGACAGUACCGGGAGAAUAAGCUCCGGCUAACUCCGUG